AACGUAGGUGGCGAGCGUUAUCCGGAUUUACUGGGCGUAAAGGGCGCGUAGGCGGCCUUCUAAGUCGGACGUGAAAUCCCUCGGCUUAACCGAGGAACUGCGUCCGAUACUGAAAGGCUUGAAUCCGGGAGAGGGAUGUGGAAUUCCAGGUGUAGCGGUGAAAUGCGUAGAUAUCUGGAGGAACACCGGUGGCGAAGGCGGCAUCCUGGACCGGCAUUGACGCUGAGGCGCGAAAGCUAGGGGAGCAAACGGG
rnacentral:rRNA from 1 species